AUCGCGAGCAUCGUCACGUUCGUUAAAUCGGUUAUCAUACGGUAGGUGUUCGCGAUUGGAAUUUCGUUUUAUUUGUACGCGUUGUACAAACACACGCGCGCGUGUGUGUGUGUGUCAGUUGUGCGUGUCACGAUCGUGCAUCAGCAGAUGACAUUUACCGCCCUGGUCACGCACAAACUAUAUUCGUCUCACCGUCACAGGGGCACACACGGACCUGAAGUGACCGGCGGUCAGUUUGAUGGUGUAACGAGGCUCGUGAUGUGACAACACACAGCCAACGAACGAACCGUGGCAGCAGGAGUCGACCGAGGGUGAAGACACUUCAGGGUCAGACAUCUGCGCAUCGAUAUGAGGACCUCGUAUACAGCUCGCAACGGCUCAUACUUAUGUUACGCUUAACUGGCAGCACGGCUUAGCUACCGCUUCUUGGCACUCAGUGUGAAGGAGAGGCAGCCUGAAGGUUCCAGCCCCUGACAGCUUCCGAGCUUCAGCGAGAUUUCAGCCAGGGUGGAGAUCAUCAAUGGAUCACAAUGCCGUAUUGUCCCGGUGAUUCGCCGCCUACGUUAGUCAACACGAGUCGAUGACUGACGAUAAGGGAGCAGCAAUGUUAUAUGGACUAUUACCCAAAGAAUGUUGCAGAAAAGGAUAGAUCAUAGAUGCCAUCUACAAUCCGUCCAACGCGCUCGACGCAGGGCCGAGACUCAGUUGUUUCCAGUUCUUCAAACGUUUCGGUCCAGGUGUGAUUCGAGCCUGCUUCGAACACGAGCACAGCAGACUUGGUUGCACGAGGCUCGGAGCAAUGGCGAGGCCCCAUCAGACAGAAGCUACCGCGAUAACAGGUAAUCCGCGAUUAGCAACGCGUCGAUUGCCCUGUAUCGUCGAUCGUCGGCCUCGAUCCCGGCGAUAUUUCAAGCCGAUCGGUACCCGCGGACGGUGAAACUCGAUCUCGUGGAUCGAGCUCAUGGAUCCCCCAUCGGGAAAGCUUCUUUGAGAAGCCGGCAGCGCUGGUGGACUCGCUCUCCUCCCGCUCCGUUCCUCUUGAGUGAUAUAAAACCGGCAUUCGCGAAUAAAUACUCCAUUGCAGGAGCACGGGGGCCCUAAAUAUUCAUGGGUUUAGAUCUCGCUCUCCUUAGAUUCUCCUCCAUCCUCAUUCAGCUUCCUCUCCGCUUGAACCUCGACUGUGGCCGUGGCGGGGAACGUCACGUUUGUUACGACCGCCAACAGGACUUUACCAUUCGAGAUCCCUUGGGUCUUUGUAUCAUUCUGAUCCGAUCGAUACGUUACGGAAAAGACGCGUUUUCCUCUUACUUCUCUUUCAGAUUCGUUUCAUCGCUUUAUUCGAGUGAUUCAUUGAUCGCGGGUCGCUUCUUUCACUUGGAAAUUGUAUCGGAUAUGGAAUAAUCGAUGGACGUAUCGACUGGAAAGAGUGAAAGCAUCUUCCCUUUUUUGGGGGGGUGAAACUCACCUGUUUAGAUUCAACUCGCGUGCUGUACAAUUUUCAGAAAUUUUUCAACGGAAAUUAUACUUUUAAUAUUAUUUAAGAGUAUGAUUUCUAAUCCGCGAACGAGGUCUGUAAUAGCACGUAAUCAUGAGAAAAUUCAUGACACUCAAACGGAAAGUAACUUCUCUAUAAUGAUAACAUGUUAAAUUCCAAGGAAUGUAUGCAUUAUACGAGUCAGAGGAAUAUAAUAGACUGGAAGAGCAUGUUUCAAGGAGCAGCUUACCGUUGCUUCGAGGUGUAAGACAAGGCAUAAAAACAUAGUCAUCCGACGACGUUGCAAUCAUCGUCGCCGUUGGCGCAAUUAUUGGAAAAGUCAAGUCGAUCGAGGUGCUAGGGUAACACGAGCACAAUCAUCAUCGUUCUCGAACCGAUCGCUGAAUAGACGUCCGUCCGUGGCUUUCAGCCGCGAAUUACCAUCGAAACGUUCACCGUCCUCGAGUACCAGUAACGAUCGCUCGUUGGAAAAUGAUUCGACGAAGGAGAUAGAAAAAAAAGGAAGACGGAGGAGAUCGAAAUAGGGGAAAAAGAAGGAAAUAAUAUCGUACCGCGUCCUCGUUGGCAGCCUUUCACUAGUGACUGCAGAUCCAACAAGACUGGACAUGCCUUUGUUUUCAAGGGGUUUUGAAUUUGUUAAUUGAAAAUUCACAAUUACAUUAAAAUAGAGCUAUCUGUUUUAUCCUAGUAUAAAAACUGAAACAAUGUAACGCACGUUGACGGUAAUAAUAAACUGCUUCGAUAUCAACGACCCUUCGCACAGUCAGUGUUUGAAGCUUAGCGCUGUCACAUCUCAGCAACAAAGGCAUCUCCAGUCUUGUUGGAUCUGUAGCCGCUGCAACCCUUAAAAAUGUCACAUCCCAGGACUGCCACCCCCAACACGGACAGAAGAAGAGCAGCAAGGGGUGAGUGAUCCAAUCCUCCCCUCAAUACUAGAUAUAACGCCAGCUAAUUCCACGUCAUUUCGUUGAUGGACGAGACUCCUCUCGAUCUUUAGCACGCAAACGUCUCCUCGAUCCAUCGCGCGACGUUGAUCCUCGAAUCGCGCUCGUAAAUCCGACCCUCGAUAAAUGGAACCCUCGUUGGCAGAGUAAACGCGUCGAAUUAACACGUCGUCGCGUGGCACGCGAGUUUCACGCGACAUCACUCUUGUUUGAAUACUUAGAAAAUUUUGACCGAUUUUUAAUGAACUAUCAUUUUUUAUAUUAAUCCGAUUUCGAGAUCUUUAAGAGCCUUCUAUACAAAUUAUCAAUUUCCAAUCUUCAACAAUUACCCAGCUAGAUAAAAGACCUAUUCCACGUACAGCAACCUCAGCGCUCGGCUAAUUAAUUCGAUGAAACCGUCUCGUCGGCUAAUUGAACGGCUCACAAUGGCGAUGGACUAUCGCACGAAACAAUUUGCCGUCGCGACGUCGUUUGACGUCUGUUCGUCUCGAUUUCGAGCACGAUCUCGCUAAUAAAUUAACCGACAGGUCGCUAGGGGCCAGCAACGACGCUAGUUUGUAAUUAAGUUUGCCGUAGCUAGAAUCACGUGUUCUCUCUCUCUAUCUUUCGAAGCGGUUGCUUCUCUUUCUUUCUACGCUUCUCGUCACCUUUCGCGCGCGUUAAUCUCCUUCGAUCCCGCCUCGCCUCGUGGAUCAUCGCGUGAAGACGAAGCUCGACGACUUCGCCGGUGGAUCAUCGAUCUUUACGGCCUCCGGGGCCAUUUUUACCCCGUGCAAUUGAGUUGCGUUUAUGACGGAUCGACGCGCCGUAUCCGUCGACAAUAUUUCGCAUGCCCUGUUGAGGAUCAACGCUUCAAUCUUUCACCUCUUGAAUUAUGUUCUUCUCUAAGUAUUUUGCAAUUUAUUUAUAACUCUAUAACAUUAAAUAAACAUUACUUCGCAUAAUUCAUUGUGUAUCACACAUUCACACAGUUCAAAAGGGUUCAUUCUUCAUGAUUUAAAUAAAUAAAUAAAUUACUAAACUAGGACUCUAGUACCAUUAGAAUAUUCUAUGUGUCUUUGAUAAAAAAAUAUUAGGAAAAUUAAGGUCCUUGUAAUUAAGGAGAAGAGAUUAAAAUCAUUCCAAUUGCCUAUUUCAAUCUGGAGAAAAAGUAGCGAAACGAACACUAGUUCUUUUUUAAACAUUGUAGCUAAAUUAGAGUAUCCGAAGAACAGCUGUGGACCACACGAUCCACGGCAGCCUGUAAUCGCGUUGAUUCCAUACCACAUCCGAUUAUAGCCAGCAGCAGUCCGGUAAUACUGAUUCCACUAACAGACUUCCCGAUCCUUUCCGAGCCGCGUCGAAUUUCUUUGCACGCGUGUUUACGUGGUUCUACUCCACCAGCAGCGUCGCCUUUUUUCCAGUGGUUCCCCGGGAAUGAUGAUGGGGCACGCAACCGGUAGCACACGCGACGCAUUAAUUCCGUUAUUUUUCUGGCGUCCCGGCAUUAACCCUUAAAGUAGACACGUUGAUCGGCCGCAAUCACGCGUGCCGUCGUUCCACUUUACAAGAGGAACUCGUUCGUCUUCCUCUUUGUGUUUCGAGCCGCUGGUGGGCGGCUCCUGAACAUAAAAGCGAACCCUUUGACCUUUGUAAUAUGCAUUUUUAAGUAUUUCUUCCUUAAAUAAUUCUUAGGUCCUAAGAUAAUUAAGACUCUUAUAAGUUAAUUCAGCAUAGAACUUGUUUAAUUACAAAUAUGAUCAGAACAGAUGUUCCGUACGAUCUGAACAGGCCCUAAGGUGUGGCGUGUGCGAAAUUCUCGGACACGUUCGUAAAACGAGCGCGUAUUCACCGUCCUCUCUCGAGGCCCACCUCCUCCAUUAACUCCAAGGCGUCGCCGCGAAAACCAUAUUAGUUCCGCGACGAUAACAUCGCCAGGGUAUAUCCCUCUAUCUCGUCGGAUAUCUGUUGAUAGCAUCUGUACAAGCGCUCGCACACCCCCACGGUACUGAAACGGUGUACACCUUGCACUCUCCGGUGAGGCAUACACCAAAAUAUUACCCUGUAGAGGCGUGUAAGCCAGGCCCUACGUGUAUCUACUAUAUACUCGUAUGCAUGGCAACAGUGAUUACAGAUCCACAAAACAUUUCCCACAUUUGUUUUUAAGGGGUUUUGAAUUGCUUCGAUAUCAAAGACUAUAGGUACUCCAUUACUCAUUGUCAGUCAGUGUCUCGAGCUCAGCCAUGACAUAUUACAGCAACAAGAGGAGCAGCAAGGGGAAGUUGAUUCAGCCCUUCUAUCAACACUAGAUAUGACGGCUUCACCACCAAAACCGGUGAGGGUGUCAGGGCCACUGGCGUCGGGAGUGGGGGCUCCAGACGCCUUUGCACGUUGCCCCAGCAGAAGCCGGUACCGGGUGCGACCCCCGGCAUCGGCCACAGGGUAAGUAGCAAGGGGAGGUCUCAAUUUGGACUUCCACCGAGAUGGGCACCUGUGUGCCA